GACGAACGCAGGCGGCGUGCUUAACACAUGCAAGUCGAACGAUGAAGCUAGAGCUUGCUCUGGUGAAUUAGUGGCGAACGGGUGAGUAACACGUGAGUAACCUGCCCCGAACUCUGGGAUAACUGUUGGAAACGGUAGCUACUACUGGCUACGACUGACGAAUGCAUCUUCUGAAGGUGGAAAGAAUUUCGGUUCGGGGUGGACUAGCGUCCUAUCAAGUUGAUGGUGAGGUAAUGGCUAAACAAGGCGACGACGGGUAGCCGGCCUGAGAGGGUGAGCGGCCACACUGGGACUGACACACGGCCCAGACUCCAACGGGGGACAGCAGUGGGAAAUAUUGCACGAUGAGCGCAAGCCUGAUGCACCAACGCCGCGUGAGGGAUGACGGCCUUCGGGUUGUAAACCGCUUUCAGCAGGGAAGAAGCCGCAAGGUGACGGUACCUGCAGAAGAAGCACCGGCUAACUACGUGCCAGCAGCCGCCGUAA
rnacentral:rRNA from 1 species